GUUAAUCCGAAAAUUCAUACGGAUUCCUAAUUUAAUUUUAAUAGUUAUUCAAUAUCAAAUAAGGUUAUUUGUAUUAUCUUUAGGAGUAGCCACAGCAUCCUAUAAAUAAUGACAAAUGUAUACAGAUUAAUUUAAUGACAUUGAAUUAAAGUUUGACUGUUUAUUGCAGUCAAAUAAAUAAUAAUUUUUAAUUUUGACAGGAAAAUGAUAGUGGGUUGAAUUUCUACAUAAUGAUUUUUCUUAUGCCCACAGGUACAGAAAUCUCGGUGGUUAGAAAUUAGUUUUUUGGUAGUUUUAUUAUUAAAGUAGAUAAAUUCUAUGCAUGUAGCGCCUCUGCCCACAGGAAGGUGGAAUUUAUCUAAUCUAAAUAUUAUUAUUUUAUAGG
rnacentral:lncRNA from 1 species